UCGGUCUUGUUUAGGCCUGAAGGGCGAAAUGAAAGUAAAGUGUACGAUCCCGUGUCGUCUCGCAAGAGGCAAUCGGGCGCAGUACCGACCCGCCUGUUGUGUUUGUUAACACUUUGGCGGAGUUUGAGCGCACAUGUUGGUACCCGAAAGAUGGUGAACUAUGCCUGGGCAAGACGAAGCCAGAGGAAACUCUGGUGGAGGUCUGUAGCGAUUCUGACGUGCAAAUCGAUCGUCAGACCUGGGUAUAGGGGCGAAAGACUAAUC
rnacentral:rRNA from 1 species